rnacentral:rRNA from 1 species
GACGAACGCUGGCGGCGUGCUUAACACAUGCAAGUCGAACGGAAGGGCCAUGCUUUUGUGGGGUGCUCGUGUGGCGAAGGGGGGAGUAACACGUGUGUAACCUGCCCUUGACUUUGGGAUAACUUUUGGAAACUGGGGCUCUUACAGGAUAGGAGCUUUUGCUGCAUGGUGGGGGUUGGAAAGUUUCGGCGGUUGGGGAUGGACUCGAGGCUUAUCAGCUUGUUGGUGGGGUAGUGGCUUACCAAGGCUUUGACGGGUAGCCGGCCUGAGAGGGUGACCGGCCACAUUGGGACUGAGAUACGGCCCAGACUCCUACGGGAGGCAGCAGUGGGGAAUAUUGCACAAUGGGCGGAAGCCUGAUGCAGCAACGCCGCGUGCGGGAUGACGGCCUUCGGGUUGUAAACCGCUUUCGCCUGUGACGAAGCGUGAGUGACGGUAAUGGGUAAAGAAGCACCGGCUAACUACGUG